AGCCUGCCAGGAGAAGAAGAGAGCUGGCUGAUCCUGGACUUGUAGGAAGGAAAAUACGAGAUGAAGGCCUUCUCUUCUCUGUAAGUCCUCUGGAUUCCUCCAAGUAACAGUCACCCCAAGGGAAGCAAGAAGACAUCUCUCAUCCCAGAAUAAAUCCUGGGUCUACAGCUUCCAGCUCCAGUAUUUUGGUUUCUGUCCAGCUGUUAGAAAUGAGACCCAAUUUACAACAGGCUCCA